AAGAAGAGAAUUCAACAAGAACACGAAGAAUUACAGAAGGAAAAGAAUAGAAUUCAACCAGAACGUGAAAAUCUACUGGAG